AUAUCAGUCAUGCAUAGCAUAUCAAUAAGCGGAGGAAAAGAAACUAACAAGGAUUCCCUUAGUAACGGCGAGUGAAGCGGGAAGAGCUCAAAUUUGAAAUCUUCAAGGUUUUACCUUGACGAAUUGUAGUUUAAAGAAGUGUUUUCUGUUGAAGUUUUGGUAAAAGUUCUUUGGAAUAGGACAUCAUAGAGGGUGAGAAUCCCGUAUUUGACCAUUACUUUCAGCUUUGUGAUACACUUUCAAAGAGUCGGAUUGUUUGGGAAUGCAGUCCAGAAUGGGUGGUAAAUUUCAUCUAAAGCUAAAUAUUGGCGAGAGACCGAUAGCGAACAAGUACCGUGAGGGAAAGAUGAAAAGAACUUUGAAAAGAGAGUUAAACAGUACGUGAAAUUGUCAAAAGGGAAGCGUUUGACACCAGUGUUGUUUUCUCGAAAAUCAAUUAAAAAGAGUUGGAUUUUGUGUUGUAUUGACUUUAUCAGCUUUCUUCACUCUUUUCCAGCUUUUUUUAAUGCACUUUUCGUUUAACAAGUCAACAUCAGUUUCUUUUGUUGUAAAAAGGUCAUUGGAAGGUGGCUUUCUCUUCGGAGAAAGUGUUUAUAGCCUUUGACUCAUGCAAUCGGAGAGACUGAGGUCUGCAGCGUAGAUCCUUCGGGGUUAGAUACAUUUGUGCUAAGUUAUAGCUUUUCAUAGACAACUUGUUGACUAUGUUUAGUCUUGUAGCUUACUCGCUUAUGCUAUUUUACCUACGCUUAGGAUGUUGAAUCUCUAUCACACACAG
rnacentral:rRNA from 1 species